GGGAGUGGAACCCAACUCUGAACACGAAAUUCAUUUAAGUUUAAUAUACACCUAACACCCAGAGCCUGAAGGUGAAGAAGAAGGCUAUGAUUAUUGCAGAAUCAGGUACUUCAAGAAUGAAAGUUUGACACUCACACUACCAAGCAAGGUUGGAAAAAGUUUGAAAUGGAUAAUGAUGGAAGGAGGGUAACCAUGGAACUGAUCCAUGAACCUGUGUGGAGAUUUUGAGCUCUACAGCAAGCGUGAGUGGACACUGGUGGUCAUGAGAAUGGGAGCAUGGUUGACCAAGAACCCUAGCUGCUGUACUCUGGAAUUUAUCAGCCACAUUUGCACUGAAGAUAAAUUUCUCACUGACUAAUCAAGCCAAUGACUGAAAGUGGUAAGGACACUUACCUGGCCUAAUUUGGGAAGACAUGGGCGUCUCCUAACAAUCAGUGUUGGCUCCAGAACUCUCCUAUCUCUCUGCUGAACUUUUCUUAGACUGAAAAAGCAGUAUAGGAUUCUUUUACACACAGUUUUAUUCUCAGUCCUUUCCUUGGGAUCAAACUUGCAUGACCAUGUAAUAAAUAGCUCAGCAUUACCAGCUUCUAGCCCACUUCCUUUCAACAGACCUCUCAGGUUUGCCACUGACAAAAUCCUUGAUUAGUUAAAACUGACAGUGCAAUAUCAAAUAGCCCAAGAAGCUUGGAUAGGCAAGAGGCUAGGAAUUACUAAUUGGAUUAAAUUGAUUCAUUUUGCUGAUUGAUAUGGUUUGGCUAUGUCCCUACCCAAAUUUCAUCUUGAUAUGUACCUCUCAUAAUCCCUAAGUGUCAUGGAAGGGACCUGGUGAGAGGUAAUUGAAUCAUGGGGGCAGGUUUUCCCAUGCUGUCCUUGUGAUAGUAAAUAAGUCUCAUGAGAUCUGAUGGUUUUAUAAGGGGCAGUGCUCCUGCACACGCUCUCUUGCCUACCACCAUGUAAGAUGUGCCUUUGCUCCUUCUUAACUUUCCGCCAUGAUUGUCAGUCCUCUCAAGCCAUGUGGAACUGUGAGUCCAUUAAGCCUCUUUUUCUUUCUUUUUUUUUUUUUUUUGAGACAUAGUAUCGCUCAGUUGCCCAGGCUGGAGUGCAGUGGCUCGAUCUCUGCUCACUGCAAGCUCCGCCUCCUGGGUUCACGCCAUUAUCCUGCCUCAGUCUCCUGAGUGGCUGGGACUACAGGCACCCACCAACACGCCCAGCUAAUUUUUUUGUGUUUUUUUAGUAGAGACGGGGUUUCACCGUGUUAGCCAGGAUGGUCACGAUCUCCUGACCUCGUGAUUGGCCCGCCUAGGCCUCCCAAAGUGCUGGGAUUACAGGUGUGAGCCACCGUGCCUGGCUGCCUCUUUUUCUUUAUAAAUUACCCAGUCUUGGGUAUUUCUUCAUAGCAGUAGAAAAAUGGACUAAUACACUGAUACACAGCCAGUAGAUUAUUAGGAAAAAUUUUCUUCUAAUUUCAAAUUAAUAUUCUUCUUGUUUUAGAAAGGCUAAAAUUAGAAAAAAUAAAACAACAAAAAAGUAUCCUAUGAGGAAGAAUAUAAAAAAUAAGUCAAGUAUGUUUGUUACAAGGCAUAAGACAGGCCAAGUAGGGAGAAGGAAAAAAUUGGUUUCCCAUAUUUCAGCUCAAAAAAACAGCAGAAACCCAAAAAUAUUUGAAUUAGGAGAUUCUGUUUAGAAGAAGCCUGUGGUCACAGAG
rnacentral:lncRNA from 10 species